CCUACGGGAGGCAGCAGUAGGGAAUUUUCCACAAUGGGCGAAAGCCUGAUGGAGCAACGCCGCGUGGGUGAAGAAGGUCUUCGGAUCGUAAAACCCUGUUGUUAGAGAGGAAAGUGCGUGAGAGUACCUGUUCACGUUUCGACGGUAUCUAACCAGAAAGCCCCGGCUAACUACGUGCCAGCAGCCGCGGUAAGACGUAGGUGGCAAGCGUUAUCCGGAUUUAUUGGGCGUAAAGGGCACGCAGGCGGUCUGUUAAGUCUGAUGUGAAAGCCUUCGGCUUAACCGGAGUAGUGCAUUGGAAACUGGGAGACUGGAGUGCAGAAGAGGAGAGUGGAACUCCAGGUGUAGCGGUGAAAUGCGUAGAUAUAGGGAAGAACACCAGUGGCGAAAGCGGCUCGCUGGGCUGUAACUGACGCUGAGGUUCGAAAGCGUGGGUAGCAAACAGGAUUAGAUACCCUUGUAGUC
rnacentral:rRNA from 1 species